rnacentral:rRNA from 1 species
UACGUAGGGGGCAAGCGUUGUCCGGAUUUAUUGGGCGUAAAGAGCGUGUAGGCGGCCUGACAGGUCUGCUGUGAAAACUCGAGGCUCAACCUCGAGAUGUCGGCGGAAACCGUCUGGCUAGAGUCCGGAAGAGGAGAGUGGAAUUCCUGGUGUAGCGGUGAAAUGCGCAGAUAUCAGGAAGAACACCUAUGGCGAAGGCAGCUCUCUGGGACGGUACUGACGCUGAGGAGCGAAAGCGUGGGGAGCAAACAGG